UACAGAGGGUGCGAGCGUUGUCCGGAAUCACUGGGCGUAAAGGGCGCGUAGGCGGCGCGGUAAGCGUGCGGUGAAACUCCCGGGCUCAACCCGGGAACUGCGUCCGAUACUGACAGGCUUGAAUCCGGGAGAGGGAUGUGGAAGUUCCAGGUGUAGCGGUGAAAUGCGUAGAUAUCUGGAGGAACACCGGUGGCGAAGGCGGCAUCCUGGACCGGCACUGACGCUGAUGCGCGAAAGCGUGGGGAGCAAACGGG
rnacentral:rRNA from 1 species